rnacentral:rRNA from 1 species
UACGUAGGGUGCAAGCGUUAAUCGGAAUUACUGGGCGUAAAGCGUGCGCAGGCGGUUAUGUAAGACAGGUGUGAAAUCCCCGGGCUUAACCUGGGAACUGCAUUUGUGACUGCAUAGCUAGAGUACGGUAGAGGGGGAUGGAAUUCUGCGUGUAGCAGUGAAAUGCGUAGAUAUGCGGAGGAACACCGAUGGCGAAGGCAAUCCCCUGGACCUGUACUGACGCUCAUGCACGAAAGCGUGGGGAGCAAACAGG